rnacentral:rRNA from 1 species
UACAGAGGUCUCAAGCGUUGUUCGGAUUCAUUGGGCGUAAAGGGUGUGUAGGUGGCGCCGUAAGUCGGGUGUGAAAUCUCGGGGCUUAACUCCGAAACUGCAUUCGAUACUGCCGUGCUUGAGGACUGGAGAGGAGACUGGAAUUUACGGUGUAGCAGUGAAAUGCGUAGAGAUCGUAAGGAAGACCAGUGGCGAAGGCGGGUCUCUGGACAGUUCCUGACACUGAGGCACGAAGGCCAGGGGAGCAAACGGG